GAUGAACGCUGGCGGCGUGCCUAAUACAUGCAAGUCGAGCGAACAGAUGAGGAGCUUGCUCCUCUGACGUUAGCGGCGGACGGGUGAGUAACACGUGGAUAACCUACCUAUAAGACUGGGAUAACUUCGGGAAACCGGAGCUAAUACCGGAUAAUAUAUUGAACCGCAUGGUUCAAUAGUGAAAGACGGUUUUGCUGUCACUUAUAGAUGGAUCCGCGCCGCAUUAGCUAGUUGGUAAGGUAACGGCUUACCAAGGCAACGAUGCGUAGCCGACCUGAGAGGGUGAUCGGCCACACUGGAACUGAGACACGGUCCAGACUCCUACGGGAGGCAGCAGUAGGGAAUCUUCCGCAAUGGGCGAAAGCCUGACGGAGCAACGCCGCGUGAGUGAUGAAGGUCUUCGGAUCGUAAAACUCUGUUAUUAGGGAAGAACAAAUGUGCAAGUAACUAUGCACGUCUUGACGGUACCUAAUCAGAAAGCCACGGCUAACUACGUG
rnacentral:rRNA from 1 species